GGCGAGUGAAGCGGCAACAGCUCAAAUUUGAAAUCUGGCCCCNUCGGGGUCCGAGUUGUAAUUUGUAGAGAGUGUUUNGGGUGAGACCACGGUCUAAGUCCAUUGGAACAUGGCGUCAUAGAGGGUGAGAAUCCCGUAUGUGACUGUGGCUCGAGCCCAUGUGAAGCCUCUUCGACGAGUCGAGUUGUUUGGGAAUGCAGCUCANAAUGGGUGGUAAAUUUCAUCUAAAGCUAAAUACUGGCUGGAGACCGAUAGCGCACAAGUAGAGUGAUCGAAAGAUGAAAAGCACUUUGGAAAGAGAGUCAAAAAGUACGUGAAAUUGUUGAAAGGGAAGCGCUUGCAACCAGACCUGUCCGUAGGUGAUCAGCCGCUGUUCUCAGCGGUGCACUCGCUNUGCGAUCAGGCCAGCAUCGGUUCCGGCGGUCGGAUAAAGGCCUUGGGAAUGUAGCUCCUCUCGGGGAGUCUUAUAGCCCUCGGUGCAAUGCGGCCAGCCGGGACCGAGGACCGCGCUUCGGNUAGGAUGCUGGCGUAAUGGUUGUAAGCGACCCGUCUUGAAACACGGACCAAGGAGUCUAACAUCAAUGCGAGUGUUUGGGUGUUAAACCCAUGCGCGGAAUGAAAGUGAACGGAGGUGAGAACCCGUUAGGGCGCAUCAUCGACCGAUCCAGAUGUCUUNGGAUGGAUUUGAGUAUGAGCAUUGCUGUUGGGACCCGAAAGAUGGUGAACUAUGCCUGAAUAGGGUGAAGCCAGAGGAAACUCUGGUGGAGGCUCGCAGCGGUUCUGACGUG
rnacentral:rRNA from 1 species